rnacentral:tRNA from 1 species
CCGGACGUAGCGCAGAGGCAGGCGCACGCCAUGCACCGGCGUACACGCCGGUUCGAAUCCGGUCGUCCGGA